AAGAAAGAUGCUUCACCGUGGGCUCACACUGAGACCUCAGACAUUCAACAAGAGGGAAAAGAAAUCGCCGUUAGUUUUCCCCCACAAGAAAACUCACAAAACCCAUAGUUUUCAUUCUCCAUUAUUUAUAACCCAGAAAAAAAAAAAGAAAAAAUUCACCCUCUGCAAUCAAGAAAUGACGAAUUGUAUGUGUUCUUGUAGCAAGCCUCUGAUUGUGGACAAACCCAUUCACAAUGUGAGCUUCUCUAUAUCUACCGAGAGGCUGCCAAUCAAUUUGGGGGUUUUACCUUCUGCGACAACCGCCGCCAUCGCCACUUCUAGGGUUUUUCCGGUUAGGGCUUCAAUGGUGGAUUCAUAUGAGAGUUCCUCUAAUUUCGCUAAGCGCAUGGAGCAAGCUUGGUUAAUUUCACAGCAACCAAGACCAGUUGCGUGCACUUCUUGCAGCUCAAAUGGGCAUGUUGAAUGCAAAUGGUGUGCAGGUACAGGCUUCUUCAUUCUUGGUGAUAAUAUGCUCUGUCAAGUCCCCUCCAGAAACACUACUUGUGUCAUUUGUGCUGGGAAGGUAAUUUAAACUUGGAGAGCCAGUUAUUGUUGGUGCACUCUUCUUACUUUGAAUACCAAUAUUUCAUAGUUGUAGCCUUUCUGCCUGUUCCUGAAUGCUAAAGCUACAAUAUAAGAAAUACUUUCCUGAUCUUUAUUUUUCAGGGUUCAAUGCGCUGCUCUAAUUGUAAAGGAACAGGCUUUCGUGCCAAGUGGUUGGAGGAGCCUCCAAUCUCCAAGUAGCUGCUGAAUUGUAAAAAAAAAGAAGGCUGUCAACAAGAUUCAAACA
rnacentral:misc_RNA from 1 species